GACGAACGCUGGCGGCGUGCUUAACACAUGCAAGUCGAACGGAAAGGCCCUGCUUUUGUGGGGUGCUCGAGUGGCGAACGGGUGAGUAACACGUGAGUAACCUGCCCUUGACUUUGGGAUAACUUCAGGAAACUGGGGCUAAUACCGGAUAGGAGCUCCUGCUGCAUGGUGGGGGUUGGAAAGUUUCGGCGGUUGGGGAUGGACUCGCGGCUUAUCAGCUUGUUGGUGGGGUAGUGGCUUACCAAGGCUUCGACGGGUAGCCGGCCUGAGAGGGUGACCGGCCACAUUGGGACUGAGAUACGGCCCAGACUCCUACGGGAGGCAGCAGUGGGGAAUAUUGCACAGUGGGCGGGAGCCUGAUGCAGCAACGCCGCGUGCGGGAUGACGGCCUUCGGGUUGUAAACCGCUUUCGCCUGUGACGAAGCGUGAGUGACGGUAAUGGGUAAAGAAGCACCGGCUAACUACGUG
rnacentral:rRNA from 1 species